rnacentral:rRNA from 1 species
UACGUAGGGCCCGAGCGUUAUCCGGUAUUAUUGGGCGUAAAGAGUACUAGGCGGUUUGCAAGACAAUGGUUAAAGCUCCGAGCUCAACUCGGAAAUCGCCGUUGUAACUACAAAACUAGUCGGUAGCAGGGGCAAGCGGAAUUCUCGGUGUAGGAGUGAAAUCCGUUGAGAUCGAGAAGAACACCAAUGCGAAGGCAGCUUGCUAGGUUACUUGAGACGCUGAGGUACGAAAGCGUGGGGAGCGAACGGG